rnacentral:rRNA from 1 species
UUUUGAAAAUAAUUUAAAGUNUAAUCUGCCCACUGAUAAAUAUUAAAGGGCUGCAGUAUAUUGACUGUACAAAGGUAGCAUAAUCAAUAGUCUUUUAAUUGAAGACUUGUAUGAAGGAUUUAAUGAAAUAUAAUCUGUCUCUUAUUUAUAAUUAGAAUUUAAUUUUUUAGUUAAAAAGCUAAAAUAGAUUUAAAAGACGAGAAGACCCUAUAGAGUUUUAUAAUUAAUUAAUUUUGGGUUAUAUAUAUAAUUUAAAAUUAAAAAUUAAUUAAUUAUUUUAUUGGGGUGAUAAAAAAAUUAAUUAAACUUUUUUUUAUUAAAGACAUAAAUAAGUGAAUAAAUGAUCCAUUAUUAAUGAUUAAAAGAAAAAAUUACCUUAGGGAUAACAGCGUAAUUUUUUUUUUUAGUUCAAAUAAGAAAAAGAGAUUGCGACCUCGAUGUUGGAUUAAGAUAAAAUAUAAAUGCAAAAGUUUAAAAUUUUGAUCUGUUCGAUCAUUAAAAUCUUACAUGAUCUGA